AGAGGGUGAGGCAUGGGGGCAGGCAGUCCACUCACCCUGCCGAUGACCUGGGCCAACACGUGCAGGGCUAAUGCUCUCUGCUGGGACACCUGGCUGCGCGUCAGGUGGAAGAGCUCCUGCAGGGAGUACCCUGCUCUCUGGGGCAGGGACAAGAUGUCAGAAGGAGCCAACACACAGGGCAGCACCCCCCAACUAAUACACAGAAACCCCUAUAUUCUAGGCACUGAGUUAGCUGUCAAGGGGAAGACAAAGUUAAAUGGAUCCUCAAACUGGUAAAGAAGGUGCCAGGUACAGAAUUUUGGACAAGACUGACUCGGCUCGGUGCUGCUGUCGUGGUGAACGGAAACCAGGAAGGAGGUACGGCACGGCAGAGCAUCGCACACAGAGCAUUGCCACAGCCGUACCAGAGAGGGCACAGCCGUGAUACAACGCACGUUACCCUGGAGUAGUACGGAACUGUCUGCGGACAGAAUGAAAUAACGCAUUCAACAACCCAGCCAAAGGCCUGGCCCUUGCAGGAAGCCUUCAGCAGAUCUCGUCAGGAGCCAUGGCUUGCAGUUUUGCUACGUUCUCUUCAUGGAUGGUCCGGGCUUCCUGCUCAGCAUCCUGGCUCCUGAGCCCCUUCCCUGUGACCAGAUGGGGUCCCUGGAAGCCGCGGCUGCCCC